CUGACUAAUUUCUAUAAUGCCUAUUGUCUGAGUUGUGUUUAUGGUAAUUAUUUGUGACAUUUUUAUGCUUUAUGUUGUAGGUGGUGAAAAAUGCUCUCCAGGGUAAACCCGGUAUUUUGGUGGGUCUCGUUAGUUUUGCUCACUUCUCUUCAAAAUGUUUAUUUAUUAUCCUAAUAUGUCUACUAUUUAUCCUGUUGUUCCUCCAGGCUGGGAAAACCAGGCAUUCUUUUGUUGGUUCAUGUGCUUCGUCCUACAUCCAAAGGACACAAGAAGAAUCCAAAACAGCUCAUGUCAAACUGUGGACCAUGUUUUCAGAUAUGUGCAGAUGCAAGCCAGUGUUGAAGCCUUCCUCAUUGCCGUGCAACCAGGACAGCCCUUCCUCCUGCAUGUUGGUGAAAACAAGAGCAGCACCAAAGACACUUCACCAUCAGUGAUCAAAAGAUCAUUCAAGGUAGCUUUUAAUUAACUUUGAAAGCACACUUCACCUUCAGCCAGCCUACAGUUUUCAACAUUGAUGUGACUUGCAUGACAAUUGAGGAGUUUAAGAUUCUUGGUCUUACUUUACCUGACAGAGUGGACCCUUUUUAUUAUGAUGAUCAUUUAAAUGCAUACUGUAUCAAUGAGAGGAUUUGUUUUAUGUUCUUCCAAUUAAGGACUUGGUUUAUUACAGUCCCUGUGGCAAGCAGUUUUCUGCAUGGUCAGCAUUGAAGGCCAUAUUGUCUUUGAGAGGGCCCAGCCAACAUUCCAGACAGGACAGUGUUGUCCAUCUUCUACCUUCUAACAUUUGACGAAGUCGCUUCAUUGGGAUUAACCAAGAAAGGGGCACAAAAGCCAGUCAUGGGAAGAUGGUAUUGAAAAAGACAGGAAAGACCAUUCAAACGAAAAAGUGACUCAAUGUUCAGGUUUCCACCCUCAUCAAAAACCUCAUAGACUUUGAGUGGCAUCUCAUUCAGGUUAGUUGUUGUCCUUUUCUUUCCUUUGAAAUAUUUCUGUUUCCAUAUUAUUUAGGAUCUAAAUUGGAUGUCUUUUCUUUUUCCAUGUUGGAUGGUGCCUUCAUCUGCAUCUAAUAAAGUAAGUGCCACUUGGACUCUUGRAAACCAUUAAUAGUUCACAUUUUAAAACCCUGUUAAUACUAGAAUUCCACAUUAUUUCAGCCAUGUUGAAUUUUAGAUUUUGGAAGUCCUUUUUCAUUGAUUUGCUUAGUGAUACCCAAAGUAUGGAUGUUUCUUUUAAGAACUGUGUUUUUAUGUUCAUAAGAUUGUAGAAAUUAAUGAGUUAAACCCAGUUUAUGUCGCUGUAAACUGAAAGUCUUCGAUUUUUAUUCCUGUGUUAGUGAAACUAUAUAUUGACUUUGAAGGCCUAUUUUUUACCAGUUCUCUGAAGAAUGGUUUUGAGUUAUUCGUUUUGAA